AAAUUUGAAAUCUGGCUCUCGGGCCCGAGCUUGUAAUUUGUAGAGGAUGCUUUUGAUGCGGUGCCUUCCGAGUUCCCUGGAACGGGACGCCAUAGAGGGUGAGAGCCCCGUCUGGUUGGAUGCCAAAUCUCUGUAAAGCUCCUUCGACGAGUCGAGUAGUUUGGGAAUGCUGCUCUAAAUGGGAGGUAUAUGUCUUCUAAAGCUAAAUACCGGCCAGAGACCGAUAGCGCACAAGUAGAGUGAUCGAAAGAUGAAAAGCACUUUGAAAAGAGAGUUAAAAAGUACGUGAAAUUGUUGAAAGGGAAGCGUUUAUGACCAGACUUGGGCUUGGUUAAUCAUCUGGGGUUCUCCCCAGUGCACUUUUCCAGUCCAGGCCAGCAUCAGUUUUCGCCGGGGGAUAAAGGCUUCGGGAAAUGUGGCUCUCUCCGGGGAGUGUUAUAGCCCCGUUGCGUAAUACCCUGGGCGGGGGA
rnacentral:rRNA from 1 species